rnacentral:rRNA from 1 species
CGUACGCAAUCUUCCUUUAACUGGGGCACAACUCCGUGAAAACGGAGCUAAUUCCCCAUAAGAUUAUGGAAUGGCAUCAUUCAGUAAUUAAAACUUCGGUGGUUAAAGAUGAGCGUGCGUCUGAUUAGCUAGUUGGUGAGGUAACGGCUCACCAAGGCAACGAUCAGUAGCUGGUGUGAGAGCACGACCAGCCACACGGGCACUGAGAUACGGGCCCG